rnacentral:RNase_P_RNA from 1 species
GAGGAAAGUCCGGGCUCUAUUUAUAAAAAGAAUGUUAUAUAAAAUAUAAUGUAGGAGACUAUGAGGAUAGUGCCACAGAAAUAUACCGCUUUUGUUUAAAGUAAGGGUGCAAGGGUUCGGUAAGAGCGUACCAGAAAUAUUCUUAAAAUAUUUGCUAGGUAAACCCCAUUUUAGAGCAAAGUAAUCUAUGAAGUCUUAGUUUAUUUUAUUUAUAAGUUAGAUAAGUGACAUGGCUUAGAUGAUGAGCAUACAUUAUACUGCUUAAAAGUAUAUUUUUUACUUAAGAUUAAUAAUUACCCUUCUAUAUUUGUAGUUUAUUUUAUAAAUAUUCUACUUCAUGAAGAACAAAACCCGGCUUAC